UGAAAAUACAACAGAUGAAAUGAAAAGCUACUCUGUCCAGGAGCACAGUGGAAAGAUGGUCAUAAAGAGACACAGCAUGUGAACACAAAGGAAAUAUGCACAGCUACCAAAUUAUAGAGAAGGAAGAAGGAUAAUAUUUUCACUAAAUGGAACAAGAUUAAAAACUACUGUCUUUGGUACUCCUUAGUAUAUAUUUACAUGUUUGCAAUAAACUACCACCUUCCUGAAAGUGAAACAUGAUAUUUCAUUAAGUCAUUCAACAUAUGUCAAGGAGUCCAGUCAAAAGCUGGAGCUUCACCAUGCCAUUUGUUAAAGGACACAGGUGUAAUUCUUACAUCAGGACCUGUGCAACCUGCUCAAGACAACUUUACCUCCUCAACUGUGAAGUGAAGUUGAUAUCUACACUGACAGAAGACACACAGAUACUAAUGUCACUGUCACUACUAUGUCCUGAGUAAACCAAUUUUACCAGAAAAACUUCGUUACAGGUAACUACUACAAUUUACAACAGAGGGGCUGGGAAUAUAGCUCAGCAGGAUCGCGUCUGCCUAGCAAGUAUGAAGUCCCGAGUUUGACACCAAAAAAGAAAAAAAAAAAAAAAACACGAUUUACAACAGAAUUUGCAGUUAUCAGCAACCCACUGAAAUGACAGCACAAUAGCAGAUCACAGCAGAAAUACUGCGCAUAC